rnacentral:pre_miRNA from 1 species
UCUUCAUUUCACGCGCUCUCUCACCGGUCCUAGUGACGAGAGACUGUGUGAAAUGAAGAGA